AGUGAACGCUGGCGGUAGGCCUAACACAUGCAAGUCGAACGGCAGCACAGUAAGAGCUUGCUCUUACGGGUGGCGAGUGGCGGACGGGUGAGGAAUACAUCGGAAUCUACUUUUUCGUGGGGGAUAACGUAGGGAAACUUACGCUAAUACCGCAUACGACCUACGGUUGAAAGCAGGGGAUCUUCGGACCUUGCGCGAUUGAAUGAGCCGAUGUCGGAUUAGCUAGUUGGCGGGGUAAAGGCCCACCAAGGCGACGAUCCGUAGCUGGUCUGAGAGGAUGAUCAGCCACACUGGAACUGAGACACGGUCCAGACUCCUACGGGAGGCAGCAGUGGGGAAUAUUGGACAAUGGGCGCAAGCCUGAUCCAGCCAUACCGCGUGGGUGAAGAAGGCCUUCGGGUUGUAAAGCCCUUUUGUUGGGAAAGAAAAGCAGCAGGUUAAUACCACGCUGUUCUGACGGUACCCAAAGAAUAAGCACUGGCUAACUUCGUG
rnacentral:rRNA from 1 species